rnacentral:lncRNA from 1 species
CGCCGCCGGAGACUCAACCUCGUGGACCCAAGAAGUGAGUCAACUCGGUCUCGGUCUCGGUCUCCUCGUCACCAGGGACGAGUCGGACUCAGUGAGACAACUCGGUCGAGAUCCCGCACUGAGAUGGUCACGCGGUUCAGACUCGUUCACACUCUCGGGCACCAACUCUGUUCGGAAUCGCAUAGUUUGGAACCCUCCACCCGGCUCAGACUCGGACGGAGAUUCAUCCUUGCAGACCCGAGAAGUGAGUCAACUCGGUCACGGUCACCUCGUCACCAGGGACUUGUCGGACUCAGUGUGCCAACUCGGUCGAGAUCCCGUGAUCAGUUCGCCUAAAUGGUUGGAGGAGUUUCUCGGGGAAUCAUCGAUCACUGUUGGUGCCGAUACAAUCGAAGUGAGCGAAGUGUUGAAAGAGGUGAGAGAAAGAGAUGAAGAGAGAGAUACCUUUCCAAUCCCAAUCCCAAAUCCAGAAUUACUCCAGAUCCCACUGAGUUCAUCUCACGGCUCAAACUUG